GGGGACCCGCAAGCGGUGGAUGAUGUGGAUUAAUUCGAUGCAACGCGAAAAACCUUACCUACCCUUGACAUGUACGGAAGCCUUGAGAGAUCAGGGUGUGCUCGAAAGAGAGCCGUAACACAGGUGCUGCAUGGCUGUCGUCAGCUCGUGUCGUGAGAUGUUGGGUUAAGUCCCGCAACGAGCGCAACCCUUGUCAUUAGUUGCUACGAAAGGGCACUCUAAUGAGACUGCCGGUGACAAACCGGAGGAAGGUGGGGAUGACGUCAAGUCCUCAUGGCCCUUAUGGGUAGGGCUUCACACGUCAUACAAUGGUACAUACAGAGGGCCGCCAACCCGCGAGGGGGAGCUAAUCCCAGAAAGUGUAUCGUAGUCCGGAUCGCAGUCUGCAGCUCGACUGCGUGAAGUUGGAAUCGCUAGUAAUCGCGGAUCAGCAUGUCGCGGUGAAUACGUUCCCGGGUCUUGUACACACC
rnacentral:rRNA from 1 species